CGGGGUGCACCAGGCGCGAAAACUUUACAAUGCGGGAAACCGUGAUAAGGGGACACCGAGUGCCAGCAUCAUAUGCUGGCUGUCCGGGUGUGUAAAAUACACCCGUUAGCAAGGGCCGGGCAAGACCGGUGCCAGCCGCCGCGGUAACACCGGCGGCCCGAGUGGUGAUCGUGAUUAUUGGGUCUAAAGGGUCCGUAGCCGGUUUGGUCAGUCCUCCGGGAAAUCUGACGGCUCAACCGUUAGGCUUUCGGGGGAUACUGCCAGGCUUGGAACCGGGAGAGGUAAGAGGUACUACAGGGGUAGGAGUGAAAUCUUGUAAUCCCUGUGAGACCACCUGUGGCGAAGGCGUCUUACCAGAACGGGUUCGACGGUGAGGGACGAAAGCUGGGGGCACGAACCGGAUUAGAUACCCGGGUAGUCCCAGCCGUAAACGAUGCUCGCUAGGUGUCAGGCAUGGCGCGACCGUGUCUGGUGCCGCAGGGAAGCCGUGAAGCGAGCCACCUGGGAAGUACGGCCGCAAGGCUGAAACUUAAAGGAAUUGGCGGGGGAGC
rnacentral:rRNA from 1 species